rnacentral:rRNA from 1 species
AUGGAGGGACGGAGAAGGUUAGGCCAGCCUGGCGUUGGUUGUCCAGGUUUAAGGUGGUAGGCUGAAAUCUUAGGCAAAUCCGGGAUUUCAAGGCCGAGAGCUGAUGACGAGUUGCCUUCAGGCGACGAAGUGGUUGAUACCAUGCUUCCAAGAAAAGCUCCUAAGCUUCAGAUAACUGGGAACCGUACCCCAAACCGACACAGGUGG